CGGCAGAGUAACGCGUAGGAACGUACCCCAAAGUGAGGGAUAAGCACCGGAAACGGUGUCUAAUACCGCAUAUUCUCUUCGGAGCAAAGCCUUGUGCGCUUUGGGAGCGGCCUGCGUAUGAUUAGCUUGUUGGUGAGGUAAUGGCUCACCAAGGCGACGAUCAUUAGCUGGUCUGAGAGGAUGAUCAGCCUGACUGGAACUGAGACACGGUCCAG
rnacentral:rRNA from 1 species